AUCUUUGCGCUUGGGGCAAUGACGCAGUUUAUGAGGUUUUACCGAGACGCGUCAAUUGCUGGUUGAAAACUAUUUCCAAACCCCCUCUUCGUGUCUCCUUAGGGAGGCCGUCGAGAAUUUCUGGAAGGCCCGCCCUAGGCUCGGGC
rfam:Selaginella moellendorffii unplaced genomic scaffold SELMOscaffold_25, whole genome shotgun sequence.